AAAACAUAUUAACGAUAAAUAAAGAUAUGACUCUAAGAUGUUUUGACAUGGCUGUUCGGCUGCUUGCCAAUAAAGAGUCAUGUAGGCCGAAAGGAGAAAUCAUAAAUAAUAGAAAGCAUUAUAUGGACAUGCGUUUCUGGAGAAUGGUUGGUUUUGGUAAACUUCCAAAGUACCAUCAGGAUCCUACAGCAGAAGAGUUAGCCAAAACACUCGAUUGUUGGCCAUCAAUGAAUUAUUAUAUCACGGGUUGUAGAUAUGUUCUUAUGCCAUGGAAAUUCAACGGAUGUCACGCCCUUUUCGUAAUAGAUCAUGUUAAAAAGCAUGUGACUUUUAUCGACUUUACACCGACUCAAGAUUGGUGUAAACACA
rnacentral:misc_RNA from 1 species